rnacentral:rRNA from 1 species
GACACGACUCUCGGCAAUGGAUAUCUCGGCUCUCGCAUCGAUGAAGAGCGCAGCGAAAUGCGAUACUUGGUGUGAA